AUUGAACGCUGGCGGCAGGCCUAACACAUGCAGGUCGAGCGGAUGAAGGGAGCUUGCUCCUGGAUUCAGCGGCGGACGGGUGAGUAAUGCCUAGGAAUCUGCCUGGUAGUGGGGGAUAACGUCCGGAAACGGGCGCUAAUACCGCAUACGUCCUGAGGGAGAAAGUGGGGGAUCUUCGGACCUCACGCUAUCAGAUGAGCCUAGGUCGGAUUAGCUAGUUGGUGGGGUAAAGGCCUACCAAGGCGACGAUCCGUAACUGGUCUGAGAGGAUGAUCAGUCACACUGGAACUGAGACACGGUCCAGACUCCUACGGGAGGCAGCAGUGGGGAAUAUUGGACAAUGGGCGAAAGCCUGAUCCAGCCAUGCCGCGUGUGUGAAGAAGGUCUUCGGAUUGUAAAGCACUUUAAGUUGGGAGGAAGGGCAGUAAGUUAAUACCUUGCUGUUUUGACGUUACCAACAGAAUAAGCACCGGCUAGCUUCGUG
rnacentral:rRNA from 1 species